CCUACGGGAGGCAGCAGUGGGGAAUAUUGCACAAUGGGGGAAACCCUGAUGCAGCGACGCCGCGUGAAGGAAGAAGUAUUUCGGUAUGUAAAGCUCUAUCAGCAGGGAAGAAAAUGACGGUACCUGAUUAAGAAGCCCCGGCUAACUACGUGCCAGCAGCCGCGGUAAUACGUAGGGGGCAAGCGUUAUCCGGAUUUACUGGGUGUAAAGGGAGCGUAGACGGCAGCACAAGGCUGGAGUGAAAUGCCGGGGCUUAACCCCGGGACUGCUUUUGAAACUGCGCAGCUAGAGUGCAGGAGAGGUAAGCGGAAUUCCUGGUGUAGCGGUGAAAUGCGUAGAUAUUAGGAGGAACACCGGUGGCGAAGGCGGCCUGCUGGACUGCGACUGACGUUGAGGCCCGAAGGCGUGGGGAGCAAACAGGAUUAGAUACCCUAAUAGUC
rnacentral:rRNA from 1 species